CUGCAGCCCUCCGGGACUUAAAAUGAGCCACCUUAGCGACGUUACUGAUAUUGCUUUUAAACGAAACGCGCGCGCGCGCACGCACUCGUGUGUGUGUGAACAAGCAUGAAAUAUAUAAUGAAAUCUGUUACAUAUCCAUCAUUUUUACAUAGGCCAAACAUCGAGUUUUAUCAACAGAUCAUCUAUGGGUCGUGUUGAGAAAGCGGGGGGAUGAAAUGGAAGAUGAGGUGUUGCGUAAGCUGGUGGGAUCGAUGUCAAGCAGAGUGAAGGCGGUAAUCAAGGGUAAAGGCGGACACACCAAGUACUACCCAUUUCUGACCUUCAACAAAUAGGCUACCUACACAAGUUUUUAGACUUGGCUGUACAGCUGGAGCUCGGCAGCUGAGCCAUCCUCUCUCCUCAUGGGUGCUCUCCUGUGAAUAAUUGAAGACGACUGGUGAAAUGUGCGCGCCCGGAACGUCACAGGGAAGAGCUAUUUCAGAGGAGCCGUAGCCGGCACGUCCCGCCCCUUAACCCCGAUGGGGAGGAGGCCAAAUGCGCCCCACCGCUGUGUACCCCCGGGCGCAGUGGCAUAAAUGACGGUGCGGAGGUCGGGUCCUCAGAACAGCCGACAUUUUCCAAGUUCGCUCCCCAUCAAUUAAAAAAUGCUUAAAUGCAAAUUGAAGGCUACGUCAAGGCAACAGGUGCUGAGGAGGCACCCACUAAUUACCAGCAGCUGAAUUAGCUCCAGAACUUCUCGGGGCUUGGACAAGGAUUGAGAGGCGCACCUGCAGCAACGACACCUGACCACAUAGAACCAGUUUGUGGAUAGAAGAUGACAAUACCUGAAUCAAAAAAUAUAUAUAUUUUAAAGUGAUAAUCA